GGAAGGGAAAUACCUAUACGCGCGCGCGCAGACCUCCACAAGACGAUGAAGAGCGGUACGUGCAGCGCCUGCGCCCUCCCCUCCCCUCCUCACACACACUCUCUCUCUGCGUCGGCAUUGCCCCUAGUCGCUCUUGUGCGUGUACCUGUGUGUAGCGUCGCGCACGUCUGCGCCACGCAGGCCAACGGCGCAGGGAUCGGAAACGAGCACUGCAGAAGGGGGGACCCCCCCACGCACAAGCGGUCGCGGCCAAGGCACCGCGCGCACUCGCUUCGUAAGGUGGGGACUGUCCAACCUCGCGCCACCGUCACCGCCACCGCCACCACCACCACCCGCCAUUAGCCCUCUGAACCCCUGAAGAAGACGGCAGCUGCUCUCUCGCUCGCCGACCUCGCACGUGGUGAGGCCCCUCCCCUCUUCCUCCGUUGUGUCCAUCUCACGCGUUGUGCUGUGUCGUGUGCGUGCAUUGAGCAAGAAGCAACGCACCAGUGCCCGCAGCACGAUCACGUCAGCCGAUGUCGUCACAAACGCCGUCGCGGCUGGCCUUCACGCAGGCAAGCGACGCACUGGCAACGCUAACCAGCCCAUCCGCCCAGUUCGCCACCGCCGACUUCGACCCUGCGCUGAAGGAUUGGUCGUUUGUGAAGCCGCUGGUCGUCGGCGCCGGCGGCAUCGGCUGCGAGCUCCUACACCUCCUCGCCCUAAGCGGCUUCGCACACCUCACCGUGAUCGACAUGGAUCUCAUCGAACUGUCGAACUUGAAUCGUCAGUUUCUCUUCACGCAUAGCGACAUCGGCAAGGCCAAGAGCACCACGGCAGCGGCGGCGGUGCAGGCGCGAUGCCCUGGAGUCUCCGUCACGGCAGUCGUCGGCUGUCUAGAGGAUCAACCGGACGACUUCUACCGCAGCUUCGACGCGGUGCUGCUCGCUGUCGACUCGAUUCCGGCGCGGCGCUGGAUCAACCGCAAAGUCGCCGAAAUCGCCAAGCGCGUCGUCGUCCCUACCCCUGCGUCCGCGUCGCCGCCCGCAGCACGGUCGACAGCACCGCCAGAGGACGCAGUAGCAGCCUCCACGGCACAAGCACCGGCUGUAGUGUACCGCGUCGGCGACUACGUGAUGGAAGACGCCAAGCUGAUCAUCGACACCGGCACGGAGGGCUUCGAAGGGCACUGUCGAGUCAUUCACAUGGCGCACAACCGCACCCCAUGCAUCGAGUGCGAGAUGUACCUGUACAACGACGGUGCCACACGGGCAACGGUGCCGCUGUGCACCCUCGAGUCGGUGCCGCGCGCGCCGGAGCACUGCGUUCUCUACGUGCAGCUGAAGGAGUGGCCAGAGCAUCACCGCCAUCGGCGCCGGCGUCGCAGCCAAGGCGAUGAUGGCGACGGCGCAGUCGCUGGUGGAGGGUGCGAGGAGGACAGCAAGGACGGCGACAGGGACGAGCCACUGGACCCCGACAACGCCGAGCACGUGCGCUGGGUCGCGGAACGAGCACGAGCGCGCCAGGCCGCGUUCGGCAUCGGCGGCGCUCCGAUCGAUGACUUGUUCACGGUCGGGGUGAUCAAGAACGUGGUGCCUGCCGUCGGCUUCACCAACGCAUACGUGGCGGGGCAGGCUGUGACGGAGCUCAUGAAGUGGUUGACGGGGUGUGCGCCGGAGUUGAACAACUACGCCUUUUACAACGGUGCCACCGAGACGGGUGUGUACACGAACGUCGAGCCGUGCCGCGGAGCCCCGAUGCACGGCAGCGGCGACGUGGCGGGUCGCUGUCUGGUCUGCGAGCCGCGUCCCGUCGUCGCGGUCGACGCGAGUGCCGUCAGCGCUGUCGCGUUCCGUGACGGGCUCAUUGAGCUGCUCGCGCCGGAUGCCACCGCGGCGGCAAUGCUGCGCAGGGGCAUCGUCUUACUGGUCUUCCAGUCGGCGUCGAGGCUCGUGGAAGUGCCACUGCCGAACGCCGUCAAGGAAGCGGGAGCGGUGAAGCACGAGAACAUCGCCAGCAUGCUCUGCGCCGCCGGCCACGAGGAAUUUGUGAAGCAGUGGAAGGAUGGUGCGCGCAUGGCCACGGUGGAGUGCUUCGGCGCAGCCGACAACGCACGCGUGUCGGCGCUGGUGCAGUGGCGGGGGCCGCCUGUGUGAGCGUAAGACCACGACGGCGUAGAUGCGCGACGGGGAGAGCGGUGGUCCUGUCGCUGGUCACCCUUGCGCAGACUCCAGCGCGGGGGGAGGGGAGAGGGGGGAGGGUGCACCCUCCCGCCUCUUCGCUCUCGCGCGCUCUCUGCCUGGGGUUUGUCCUUCAGCUUGCGUAUUCACGGUUCGCUCGUAC
rnacentral:misc_RNA from 1 species